rnacentral:rRNA from 1 species
UACAGAGGAGCCAAGCGUUGUCCGGAUUGACUGGGCGUAAAGCGCACGCAGGCGGAUGCGCGCGUGGGGUGUGAAAUCUGGCCGCUUAACGGCCAGGCGCCAUCCCAUGCGGCGUGUCUGGAGGGCUGCAGAGGUCGAUGGAAUUGCCGGUGUAGUGGUGAAAUGCGUAGAGAUCGGCAGGAACACCCAGGGGGAAACCAGUCGACUGGGCAGCACCUGACGCUGAGGUGCGAGAGCGUGGGGAGCGAACCGG